GAAAAAAAUGAAUGUUUUUUUUAUUAUUUUUUUACAAAAAAUCUAAAAGUCGGGGUUGAACUGCAAUAUUAACUAAGCUCUGAAGCUAAACCAAAGCUAUAUAGAUGAAUUAUUCAUGCAUAUGAAAUUUCUGAAAAUAAAAUUGAUUCUAUUCAUAAUAUAAUCAUUAUUCUAUUCAUAACCAGGCUUUCCGACCAAACGUUAUCUUUUCAAGAAUCUACAUGUAUGAUUUUUUU
rnacentral:lncRNA from 1 species